rnacentral:rRNA from 1 species
GACGAACGCUGGCGGCGUGCUUAACACAUGCAAGUCGAACGAUGAAGAAGAGAAACGCGAACUUCGGUUCAAAUUUCACUUCGGAUUAGUGGCAGACGGGUGAGUAACACGUGAGCAACCUACCUCUUACAAAGGGAUAGCCUCGGGAAACCGUGAUUAAUACCAUAUGACACAUUCAUAAGGCAUCUUAAGAAUGUUAAAGCUACGGCGGUAAGAGAUGGGCUCGCGUCCCAUUAGCUAGUUGGUGAGGUAACGGCCCACCAAGGCGACGAUGGGUAACCGGCCUGAGAGGGUGAACGGUCACAUUGGAACUGAGACACGGUCCAAACUCCUACGGGAGGCAGCAGUGGGGAAUAUUGCACAAUGGAGGGAACUCUGAUGCAGCGACGCCGCGUGAGCGAUGAAGGAAUUCGUUUCGUAAAGCUCUGUUCUAUGGGAAGAAAAGGACUGUACCAUAGGAGAAAGCCCCGGCUAAAUACGUG